rnacentral:ncRNA from 1 species
AACAAUGCUUUGAAAAGAAGAGUACAAAUAGAGAACCAUUUGAAAGAGAGCUUCGGUUGGUGAAAAGAAGCAAUGGGAAAUGUUUGGAAGAUGGUCUUUGAGCAUUCAGCAGUGAGUGAUACCACAAGCAGCUGACGGAGGUGCCCGUUAUCGCAACGCAGUAUCAGCGGACAGCUCGUACUGGCUAAGGUUCCUCCUGUGAAGGUUGGACAAAUGAAGGUGGUAACGCGAAUUCUUUCGCCCUUUUU